GGCUCAGUGGUCUAGUAGCAUGAUACUUGCUUUGGGUAAAGAGUACGAAAUGGCUCUUCAUUAAUUGCAAGGGGUCUCGGGUUCAAUUCCCGACUGAGCCC